UGGGGAAUAUUGGACAAUGGGCGCAAGCCUGAUCCAGCCAUGCCGCGUGAGUGAUGAAGGCCCUAGGGUUGUAAAGCUCUUUCACCGGUGAAGAUAAUGACGGUAACCGGAGAAGAAGCCCCGGCUAACUUCGUGCCAGCAGCCGCGGUAAUACGAAGGGGGCUAGCGUUGUUCGGAUUUACUGGGCGUAAAGCGCACGUAGGCGGACUUUUAAGUCAGGGGGGAAAUCCCGGGGCUCAACCCCGGAACUGCCUUUGAUACUGGAAGUCUUGAGGAUGGUAGAGGUGAGUGGAAUUCCGAGUGUAGAGGUAAAAUUCGUAGAUAUUCGGAGGAACACAAGUGGCGAAGGCGGCUCACUGGACCAUUACUGACGCUGAGGUGCGAAAGCGUGGGGAGCAAAGAGG
rnacentral:rRNA from 1 species